rnacentral:rRNA from 1 species
AGAGUUUGAUUAUGGCUCAGGAUGAACGCUGGCGGCGUGCCUAACACAUGCAAGUCGAACGGAGUUACUUUGGUGAAGUUUUCGGAUGGAUCUGAUUUAACUUAGUGGCGGACGGGUGAGUAAUGCGUGAGCAACCUGCCCUUCAGAGGGGGACAACAGUUGGAAACGACUGCUAAUACCGCAUAAUGUAUCCGGGAGGCAUCUCCUGGAUACCAAAGGAGAAAUCCGCUGAUGGAUGGGCUCACGUCUGAUUAGCUAGUUGGUGAGGUAACGGCUCACCAAGGCUGCGAUCAGUAGCCGGACUGAGAGGUUGAACGGCCACAUUGGGACUGAGAUACGGCCCAG